UGCUGGCCUCGCUCUCGCCCUGACGCCUGCCUGGCCACACCCACACCGCGCAGAUAAUACAUCCGCGCAGGUGCCCUUGGCUUAGACGGCGAUGCCCCCGGAACACCUGAAAACCACGAGACCCGCUCCGCGUUGCGGAAGGAAGAAGCCCUGUAGACGCCAGUGGCUUCAGCCGCCCUCACGGAGCCUCCCUUCUUGGCCUCGUCCCGCGCCCCGGCCCAGUGGCACGCCCGCCACCUAGCUCUCCGUGCCCGCGGCUCGUCGUGCUCGGCCACCUCGCCAGGCCCGGAAACGCUUUCUCUUUUGCCAAAUUCGACGUGGCUCCCGCAGGCUCCGUGGUCGGCGCGGCCGGGCCAAAGGAGCCCAAUUCCGUAGCACAGUCCCCUGACUCGCUGGCUUGCGGGCUCGCUCGCCCAGCCAGCCAAGCAGCCGUGCGGGCCGGGUGCGGGUGCCGGCGUUGAGCGGAGCCCGAAACCUCGGCGCCCCACGCCUGGCUGGGGAAGCACGGCUGUGAGCAGGGUCUCGCUGUGCAGUUCAUGCUGACCUCGAAUUUGUGGCGAUCCUGCCGCCUCAGCCUCCCGAGCGGUGCGAUUGCGGGCGGGCAUCACCACGCCCAGCUUCUGAAGGGAGAAUUGAAGCCCCAUGGCGAGAGCCAAGAGAGACUUCAAUCAAGCAGAAGGACGUGGCAAGCGGGCACUUCCUCCCUGAGCCCUGACUCACUGCGUGGGGAGGGCAGCUGGAGCCCGCAGACCCACGGUGACGACUGUCGACCCCAGAGGCCUCCACGGAGAAGCGCACCACUGGAACGGAGUGGCGGAGGCGGCGGGCGGCAGUGGCUGCGUGAACGCCGUGUCUAUAGUUUGCUAUUGUUGUGGUGGUUGUGCUGUGUUCUUUUCUUGUUCAUAUUUCUUCCUUCUCUCUUUCUCUCCUGUCUUCUUCACCAGCUCCCCAAUGCUUGUGUAAUCUUCCUUUGUCCACCAGCCUUGCUUCUAAUCCCUUCCUCUUCCUCUAUUCCUCUCCCCAGCCCCCUCCCAGCAUCCCUUCAGUUUUCUCCCCUGAGGGUGAAAUCGCCCUAUUGAGGGCACGUUUACUGCAGGCAGUUUUCUGGUCUGUUUUAGAUUUUGUUCUAGAACCACAGAUACAGUUCAUAGGGUGAAAGGUAGCAAAUUAAUAGUCAGCACAGUCUGUCCCUCUCUAGGCUGUGUUUGAUGCUAUUGUCAUUGCUGAUGGUACUGCUUUAGCCAAGGUGACACAGUGGUUCUAAUCAGUCGUUCUUCCUGGCACGCCAAGACUGAGAUCGCCUAAGGGUCAUCAACAAUACUACGAGCCAGUGCCAAAGAACCAGGGGCUAGGCCAAAUAGGCAGCAACGUCUCAUCUGCAAGAGACUGAAGAGGUUCGAUCUCGCGACACACACACUCAAAACCCAAAAGCCAGAGGCCGGGCCUGGCCGGAGGCCUCGGGACUCGGCCUUGGUGCGCUGGCUGAGCGUCGGCGUGAUCCAUGGGCAGCAGCCGGGGCUGUGCUGACAGACUAAGGCGAGGAGCAGCGAAAUGAGCUGGAGGCUCUGGGGUCCAUCUGCUCCGACCCCCUCACAGUAUUAUCAGAAACUCCAACCAGCUUCACCAUCACCGUGACAUCUGAGGCUGGAGAAAAUGACGAAACCCUCCAGUUUACAUACAGUGAAAAAUACCCGGAUGGGGCUCCCCUUUAUGAAGGAUUGCCCCAGGAAAACCUAGUAGAUAAUGAUGCCAGAGACAUUUUUAAAUUAUGAGCACUACGGGCUGAGGAAAAUCUUGGUGUGGUCAUGAUCUUUCCUCUGGUGACAGCAGUGCAGGAAGAAUUUAAUGAAAUAAUAGAUCAGAUAAAAACAAAAAUGAGAAGAGAGGAAGCAAAGAAACUGAAAGGAAAAGAAGCAGAAGAGGGAGAAGAAGCAGAGAAGCAAUUAUUCCACAGCACCCCUGUUACAAUUGAGAAUUUCUUCUGUUGGAAAGCCAAGUUGGAUGCAGGACUCUUGGAAAUUAACGGGUGAAGAAGAAGAAGAAGAAGAAGAAGAAGAAGAAGAAGCAGGAAAAAAUCAAGCUGUUUGAAACCGAUCAUAAUCUUGACACAUCUGAUAUCUAUCCAGUUCUUGGAGGAUGCUGGAAAUAAGCGGAAGUACAUGAGUCUUUGAUCCAGGAGCUGGAUGACUUGGAGCGGGAGGAUGUUGAGGACGACCCGGACUCGCUCGAGGGCCACAGCAUCUGUGGCUGUGCUGAGAGGGUUUUAAUUUUCCACAUUUUUCUAAGAAAAAAUGACUUUCAGGAGAAUAUUCUUCUGAUAACGUUCACCAUUGAACUUAAUAAACUGACCAUAACACGAGAGAGAGAGAGAGAGAGAGAGAGAGAGAGAGAGAGAGAGAGAGAGAGAGAGAGAGAGAGGGAGAGGGAGAGGGAGAGAGAGGGAGAGGGAGAGAGAGAGAGAGUACUCAAAAGCUGGCUACACCUGGAAGACAUCUCUGAGAAGUAGUCAUUUCCUGAGGGCUCGAAAUACCACUGAGAAAGCUACCUGCCAUGAGCAAUUCAUAAUCCUCAACCCAGGAAUUAAACUGAGAAAGUGAAAGAGAGAGAGAGAGAGAGAGACAGAGAGGGAGGCAUAUAUAUCUCCAUACAUGAAGAGAGGGCGAGCCUGGGGAGAAGACACUUAAGCAAGAUGCAACCCCACACUUACACCUCACCAGAGGCCAACCCAGGGGGCAAUGAGGUGGAACAAUGAAAAAAACCACCCAUCUGGACUCUCUGAAUUGGUAGCACUGGAAGGAAUAAAACAGAUGAAUGAGGCUCUAGAAAGAGCCACAUCAGAAAUAAGUUCUCAAACAGAGCUGAACCCAAAAUUCAGAAAAGAAAAUGAGCAAAUGGUCAAUAAGCCCAUGGAAAAUUGCUCCAUCUGUCUGCUCUUCAAGGAAAUACAAAGUAUAACUACGAUGAGAUACAACUACGUACACACUGGAAUGGCUACAAUUAAAAAGACUCACAAUACCAAGUGUUGUCAAAGAUGUGGGGCAACAACGUUCUCAUGCUUUGCUGGUGAGAAUAUGAAAUGGGUCAAACAGUUUAGAAAACAUUUUAAAAUCUUUGAUAAAGUUCAACAUGCAAUUAACUUACGUAUGACCCAGAAAUCCUGCUUCUAGACAUUUACCCAAAAGAAAUUAAAGUAUGAGGGGCCGGGGAUUUAGCUCAGUGGUUUCACCACCUGCUGCGCAAGCGCAAGGACCCGAGUUCGGUCCCCGGUACCAAAAAGCAAACAAACAAAGCAACAACAGCAACAAAAAAGAAAUUAAAUUAUGUAAUUCCAUAAACACCUGUACAGAGAUGCUCAUAGCGGCUUUAUUCAUAGUUGCCUCCUAACUGUAAACAACCGAAACAACUACUACUGGAACAAUGAAUAAGCGCAUUGCAAUAUAUCCAUUUAGUGGGUUAUUACUCGGCAGUUAAAAGAAAUAAAUUACUGUCACAUGCAACAUGUGCACGAAUCUCAUAAACAUGCUCAGCCAGUGAAGACAGACUCGGAGUUUAUACUGUAUGGCUCCCAUCUGAUGAAGUUCUAGAAAAAACAUACCGGUCUGCAGGGGCAGAAAUCUCAUCAGCUGCUGCGAAGUACUGAAGGUCGCCAGAUACCGGGAAGGAACCUCAAGGAAUAUCUAGGGGUGAUAAAAGACACUCUACGUCUUGAGUGUGUUGUGUUCAAUACAUUGUGCUCCACACAUUUUGAUUUAUUCUUUAAAAAGAAAAUAAUUUCUCGGAUAACUACAGAGAUGAUGACCAUAGGGACAGACACGGUUAGUGACUGUAGAGUAGAUACGGAUUUUAAACAAGAAAAACAAAACCAAAACCAAAAACUAGGAGCUGAGGAAAAGGAUGGAAGCCACGGAAGCCCAAUCUAGGAAAGAAAUCGAAUCCAUGAGAUAGAUUCAAACGGGUAUCCAAGAGGUUCAAAACUUCCACUGAAAGCACACACAGCAGAAUGAGCUAACGUGAGGACAGAUGAUCAGACAUUGCAGACAGGAUUGCGGUUAGCGUUCGGUCAUGAAAAGAAAGAUCGCUUAAAAGUAGCAAGGGACCGCAAAAAGUCAAUCCGACAGCUGCUAGAUGAUGCAAAGAAGAAUAACGUAAGAAUGAUGGGAGUCGAUGAAAAAACAGGAGAGGGCCCAAAUGACAUAAAAAAAAUAAUCUGUUCAGAGACCUAAUGGCAGAAAACUUCCCAAGCAUGGGACAAAGAAUUUGACACAGAGAUAAGUGAGGCACAUGGCAUUCCAGUUAGCCAUGAUUUAAAAAGAAAAAAAUCUACACCAAGGCAUGUAAUAGUCAAGAUUGCAGAAAUUCAACACAAGAGCAGAACAUUAAAACAAACCCUUUCUGCCGCUCUGGAUCGCCCCCGAGGACCCAGCGCCCAGAUGGGACUUGUGCGGUUCCCGUCCCCGCCUCCGCCGCCCCCACCCCUGCCGCCCUAGCACGGGCCACGGUCUGCACCACUGACCCCCGGGCCCGGCCCCUCAGCUCCCGCCCCGAGUGCGCCGCUCUCCUGCUGCCCCCGGGGUCCAGCCCUGGUAGCCACCCUUCUUCUGUAGUUGCUGCCCAAAGCCGACGGCAGAGCUCAGCCUUGGACGGGCCACCCAGACUUGCUUUCCAGUGAGGCCCACGUGCAGCCCACGGCACCCACCGACCCGCGCUCCCCCGCAGGCAGGCGGGACUUGGAAGAAGACCCACCCUCCCCUCCCCUCCCCUCCCCUCCCCUGGCCAGCCAAGCGCCGCCCAGCUCGCCCGGGCCCCUGCCCCUCUCUCACCCGGAUCCCCAGGCUUGCCACUGCACGGGACCCUAAUGUUGAUUACGCCCAAGGCAGGGUGUAAAGAGUUGAGCCCACAACUGGCUCCUUUAUAGAAGUGAGUCUGGCCGAAGCCUGCGUGACAAGGUCAGAGAAACUCGCACCCAGACUCCGUUCCCACCACUACAACCUUCAGACUAGAAGGACAACGUUCUGAUUCCAAUCAGAUUUUGUCCAUUGUGUUCCUACUUCGAGAAUGCUUUGUCUUGUCCUUUCUGAGCCUCGUUUACGUUAAUUUCCACAGACACCACAGGUCGUGGCCUUGACCCCAGUUGACUGCCAAUGCAAGUCAGUGCCCGGGCCUGUCCAGCGCCCGAGUGGGUUACAGCGGCGCUGGUCGUCCCGGCACCCCUCCUUCUGUCCUAGUUCUGUCUCUUAGUGAAUUUUUUCCUCGGGCCCGCGCCGUAUAGUGGGCAGGCAGGUGCGUACUGGAACCUGACUCCAGGGGUCUCCGGCAGCCACCACCUAGGGAGGUUUCCUUGGG
ensembl:lncRNA